rnacentral:rRNA from 1 species
UCAAAGAUUAAGCCAUGCAUGUGUAAGUAUAAACAAAUUAUAUUGUGAAACUGCGAAUGGCUCAUUAAAUCAGUUAUAAUUUAUUUGAUAAUGACAUUUACUAUAUGGAUAGCCGUAGUAAUUCUAGAGCUAAUACAUGCGUAAAGGUCAAACUCUAUUGGGAAUGACUGUAUUUAUUAGAUCGAAGACCAAACCCGUAAGGGAUUAGGUGAAUCAUAAUAAGUUUGUCGAAUCGUGAUUUAUUUCACGAUGUGUCAUUGAAAUUUCUGCCCUAUCAACUUGUGAUGGUAGGAUAGAGGCCUACGAUGGUUUUGACGGGUAACGGGGAAUUAGGGUUCGAUUCCGGAGAGGGAGCCUGAGAAACGGCUACCACUUCUAAGGAGGGCGGCAGGCGCGCAAAUUACCCAAUCCCAAUAAUUAUGGGGAGGUAGUGACAAAAAAUACUGAUUCGUUGCACAAUAGUGUGAUGAAAUUGGAAUGGUCUGGAUAUAACACAUCCAGAGAGAAACAAUUAGAGGGCAAGUCUGGUGCCAGCAGCCGCGGUAAUUCCAGCUCUAAUAGUGUAUACUAAAAUUGCUGCAGUUAAAAAGCUCGUAGUUGGAUUUGUGAUACUAGACAUUUUCCAUUAGUUAGAGGUUCUGAUGGUACUAAGUCAGGCUUCAUAUGGCUGAUGGGUGUGUAGAAUCAAAUGAAUUUUUCGAAGGGGUAUAUUACACUUAAUUGUGAUAAUGUAUCUACUCGGAGGGUUUACUUUGAAGAAAAUGGAGUGUUCAAAGCAGGUAAAUAAAAUGCAACUGAACAGAUUAGCAUGGAAUAAUAAAAUAGGACACGAAGGUUCUCGGUAGUACGAGGAUCACUAUGAUUAUGAAAGUAAUUGUAGUUGCUGUUUUGUUGGUCCACAGUAUAUGUGUAAUGAUUAAUAGGGACAGUUGGGGACAUUGGUAUUGCAUCGUCAGAGGUGAAAUUCUUGGAUUGAUGCAAGACGAACGAGUGCGAAAGCAUUUGUCAAGGAUGUUUUCAUUAAUCAAGAACGAAAGUUAGGGGAUCGAAGGCGAUCAGAAACCGCCCUAGUCUUAACUAUAAACUAUGCCAACUAGGGAUUGUCGGGUAUAUGAAAUAUUUUCGGAUAUUUCUGUUAUGCUAGAUUUAUGUGGGAACUUGUUCCUGUGUAAAUUGCCUCGCCAGCACCUGUGGAGAAAUCAUAAGUCUUUGGGUUCUGGGGGGAGUAUGGUCACAAGGCUGAAACUUAAAGAAAUUGACGGAAGGGCACCACCAGGUGUGGAGCCUGCGGCUUAAUUUGACUCAACACGGGGAAACUUACCAGGUCCAGACAGCGGAAGGAUUGACAGAUUGAUAGUUUUUUCUUGAUUCGGUGGGUGGUGGUGCAUGGUCGUUCUUAGUUGGUGGAGCGAUUUGUCUGCUUAAUUGCGAUAACGAACGAGACCUCAACCUGCUAAAUAAGCUUUUCGGUAGUUUUGUGCUACCGGUUAAAAUUAAGCUGCUUAGAGGGACAACCACUAUUGAAGUGGGGGAAGCAUGAGGCAAUAACAGGUCUGUGAUGCCCUUAGAUGUCCUGGGCCGCACGCGCGCUACACUGAUUAAAUCAACAAGCUCAGAUAUAAGAAAUCUUUCGGGAUGACUUUUCUCCUUAUCCGAAAGGAUUGGGUAAUCUUUUGAAUUUUAAUCGUGCUGGGGAUUGAUUUUUGUAAUUAUGGAUCAUGAACUAGGAAUACCUAGUAAGUGCAAUUCAUCAGAUUGCGCUGAUUACGUCCCUGCCCUUUGUACACACCGCCCGUCGCUCCUACCGAUUGAAUGAUCAGAUGAAAUUCUCGGAUUGCGUCAAAAGGGGUUAAAGCCUUUUGUAUACAAGAAGAGAAGUGAAUCUUAUUAUUUAGA